CUGCCAGAAUUCAUAUGCUUGUCCCGAAGACUCAAGCCAUGCAUGCCCCUGAAAACAGGCCCUGAUUUGAGGUUUCGACCUUGUUAUGGGCCAGAAGUCAGCGAACGGCUCCGCAUAUCUGUUGUGACCUAUCGUGGUAAAUUAUGGGUGGAUAUGGCACGGAAAAGCUGUGGGUAACACAGCCAAUCCGGGGGUUUCUGCCUGGGUCUCUGUGGCACGAGACUCGGGGUGUAAACCGGGUUUAACGCCCACACCUCCUCACCAGCUCCCAAAGUACAGGGCCCAAAAAGCCCCGAACCGGAGGCCUCUGUCGCCCGGAAAAGGCUUCCCGCUAACACCGGUCAGGCCUGGGCACAUGCAGAGACUAACCACAAGCGCACGAUGGGCUUCAGACCUAUCAGCUAGAUGGUAGGGUAUUGGCCUACCAUGGCGAUGACGGGUACAGAGGAUUAGGGUUUGAUCCUGGAGAGGUAGCCUGAGAAAUCGCUCCCACUUCUAAGGAAGGCAGCAGGCGCGUAACGUUCCCAAUGCUAUAUAGGUGAGGACGUAAUGGGACAUAACAAUACCCCCAGAAAUUGGUGGGCAAUGAUAAUGGGGUGCUAAC
rnacentral:rRNA from 1 species